rnacentral:snRNA from 1 species
AGCUUUGCUCAGUGGCAGUAUCAUAGCCAAUGAGGUUUAUUUGAGGCAAAAUUAUUGCUAAUUGAAAAUUGAGUAGUUAGGAUUACAGGCAUGAGUCACUGACAUUAGCUAGGGCCAACUUUAAAUUUCAGUUCCACUUAAC